GUGCUUGUUUCAGCAGCACAUACGCUAAAAUUGGAAUGAUACAGAGAAGAUUAGCAUGUCCCCCAUGCAAAGAUGACCUAAAAAGCAUAAGUACAGGGAGACGCAUCC